UCGAUGGUAGCCCUUCCAACAUAAUUAUGGGGUAUUUGCUUCUGAGUAGACAAAAUGGAAGUAAUGUGACAACAAGUCAAUCGGACGCUGUUGCAAGCAUCGUAUUGGACGCAAUUAUUUCCUUGGAGGAUCUGUUCAAUGAGUAUCCUGAAGAUUCCCUUCUGGUACCAAUUACUAUUGACAAAGGCA